rnacentral:rRNA from 1 species
ACACGUGGGUAACCUGCCUUAUAGUGGGGGAUAGCCUUUCGAAAGGAAGAUUAAUACCGCAUAAGAUUGUAGUAUCGCAUGAUAUAGCAAUUAAAGGAGCAAUUCGCUAUAAGAUGGACCCGCGUCGCAUUAGCUAGUUGGUGAGGUAAUGGCUCACCAAGGCGACGAUGCGUAGCCGACCUGAGAGGGUGAACGGCCACAUUGGGACUGAGACACGGUCCAGACUCCUACGGGAGCAGCAUG